rnacentral:rRNA from 1 species
GAUGAACGCUGGCGGCGUGCCUAAUACAUGCAAGUCGAGCGAACGGACGAGAAGCUUGCUUCUCUGAUGUUAGCGGCGGUCGGGUGAGUAACACGUGGAUAACCUACCUAUAAGACUGGGAUAACUUCGGGAAACCGUAGCUAAUACCGGAUAAUAUUUUGAACCGCAUGGUUCAAAAGUGAAAGACGGUCUUGCUGUCACUUAUAGAUGGAUCCGCGCUGCAUUAGCUAGUUGGUAAGGUAACGGCUUACCAAGGCAACGAUGCAUAGCCGACCUGAGAGGGUGAUCGGCCACACUGGAACUGAGACACGGUCCAGACUCCUACGGGAGGCAGCAGUAGGGAAUCUUCCGCAAUGGGCGAAAGCCUGACGGAGCAACGCCGCGUGAGUGAUGAAGGUCUUCGGAUCGUAAAACUCUGUUAUUAGGGAAGAACAUAUGUGUAAGUAACUGUGCACAUCUUGACGGUACCUAAUCAGAAAGCCACGGCUAACUACGUG